AAGAUUCUGGCCUUUUUGGCCAAACCUCUCCAGCUGUGCGCCCUUGGCUGCACGCUGUUGAAUCUCACACACCUUGUGCACCGUUCGGUUGCGCCGCUUAACUGGGGCGCUCCCGCCUUUACACCUAUCACAACAGUCCAGGAUGUCUUUAUAACUUUAUUAA
rnacentral:misc_RNA from 1 species